AGCUAAUGAGCUUGAAUAAGCAUAUGUUUUGAAAACAUAAUAUAGAGAUAAUUAACUUUCUAUUAGCUU
rnacentral:tRNA from 1 species